AAUGUCCUCAGGCCCAUAAACACAAAGCUGAAGGAAUUUGUCGAGUCGAUCAAAGCAAAAUGGAUAAAAAAUAUUCCAGAUUGGAGACCUCUUCAAAGAAAGGAAAAUAGGAGGAAUACACAAUCAGCUACAAUAAUGAUGGACCUCACACAGCCUUCAUGCUGAUGUUUUGUGGCCUGUUCCCCCUCUGCAGACAGAAACACUGUCUUAUUCAGGUUUUAAAAAUGCGGAUGGAGAAAAUGUGCUAAUGUGGGUGCAAUAAAACAUACAGUUCUCUGAACUCAUUUCUUCAACCUGACUGGAGAAUGUCGGUCUGGCUGUGACAUGUCAAAAGCUCCAGACAUUUAGACAACAUGCCUUGCGGAUGGGUAAAAAUGUGAUCUGAUACUUCAACAGUAGAGGAGGCCCAUUUCUAAAGCCAGAUAUGACACUCAAAUGUCACCCAAGUUAAUGAAAAAGCAGGGAUCUAAUCAUCAGAGAGCCUGUGGCAGCCAACGACACCAGUUUUUAUCCUCUC